rnacentral:rRNA from 1 species
AUUGAACGCUGGCGGCAGGCUUAACACAUGCAAGUCGAGCGGGGUGAUGGUGCUUGCACUAUCACUUAGCGGCGGACGGGUGAGUAAUGCUUAGGAAUCUGCCUAUUAGUGGGGGACAACAUCUCGAAAGGGAUGCUAAUACCGCAUACGUCCUACGGGAGAAAGCAGGGGAUCACUUGUGACCUUGCGCUAAUAGAUGAGCCUAAGUCGGAUUAGCUAGUUGGUGGGGUAAAGGCCUACCAAGGCGACGAUCUGUAGCGGGUCUGAGAGGAUGGUCCGCCACACUGGGACUGAGACACGGCCCAGACCCCUACGGGAGGCAGCAGUGGGGAAUAUUGGACAAUGGGGGGAACCCUGAUCCAGCCAUGCCGCGUGUGUGAAGAAGGCCUUAUGGUUGUAAAGCACUUUAAGCGAGGAGGAGGCUCUUUUGGUUAAUACCCAAGAUGCGUGGACGUUACUCGCAGAAUAAGCACCGGCUAACUCUGUGCCAGCCGCCGCCGUAA